AAGAGAGAAAACUGAACCUUGUUACAUGUGAAAUGGAGCCAGAUGGUGAGAGAGGAGGGGGAUAUCACAGGGGAAGAGAUGUCCCAAGCAAGGCAGGAGGCUCACGUGAGACAACUCAGGGCAGAAUCCUACGCAUUCAUAGGCUAUAAACAAGGAAGUGGAGGGAAUAAUCACAUGGACUCAAGCUUCUCAAUGAAAAACAGAAGUCAGUUCAUCUGUUGAGAGUGGAAUCGUGGAAAGGAGCAGUUGAGGAAAGAGCAACACUGAUAUUGAAAGGACAGUUGCCUUGGAGAUAAGAGAAUGAGAAACUAGAAUGUACACUCAAGAAUCUAAAACUUUGCAGUGCCUUCAGAUCAGUGUCAUCACACCAGUACCCAUGGAAAGCCAGUAUCUCCAGCCCUUCCCUUCUGUCUCUCAGAGAGCCACAAGGAAAUACAUUUGAUCUCAAAAUGUUGUAAAACAUCAGCAUCCAUUCAUUGUUUUCUUCUGAAGAGCAAGGACACUUAACGGAUUUUUCUGUAUUAUUUUAUGUGAGACAACGCGUUGAAUGCUUUAUUCUUUGUAAUAAAUAAAAUGCUUACCUGGUUCUUAAACUUCUCAAUAUUUUUUCUCCCUUCCUCCUCCUUCUCUUCUUCAAAUAAAUCACUUAUUUUUCAAUAUUUGAAAUGGUGAAUGGUAAACCAAGACUUGAAGACAGAGCCAAAAUUUACCUUGCAGAAAUAUACAUCAGACCUUAAAAUAGUAUUUUUUUCAAUAUAUCUUCCCAUUUAUUAAUUGAUAUCUUUAAAAAAUGUAAAAAAAUUCAAAUUAUCUUGGAUCCAUGUGAGAGAUACUUAUGUGAUAUUUACCAACAUUUCAUAUUAAUAUAGAUAUUUAGGUAAUUUGUUGACUAUUAUAUCACUUUGAGAGUUAUUUAUGCUUUUCUGUCUUGUCUCCUACCUCCAGCCCAACCUAUAUACAUUAAUAUAUAAAUAAUUAGACUCUUAAAAAAGUAAAAUUUUGCUAAGUCUACAGAACAAUAGAAAAUGAGAAGUGGGAAUUCCAUACAACAGAAAUUUUCUGAAUUCUUGUCUGUCCAGGCACAAAGCUCAUUUCUGAGGUCUGCAAUUCUCUCUAUAAAAUCCGUGUGCAUUGUCAGACAUCAGAACGGGUCCUGGAUCCCUGUUGGCAUAUGUGGCAGAGUCAUGGCC
rnacentral:lncRNA from 10 species